rnacentral:rRNA from 1 species
UGGGGAAUUUUCCGCAAUGGGCGAAAGCCUGACGGAGCAAUACCGCGUGAGGGAGGAAGGCUCUUGGGUUGUAAACCUCAAAACUUAGGGAAGAAAAAAAUGACGGUACCUAAUAUAAGCAUCGGCUAACUCCGUGCCAGCAGCCGCGGUAAUACGGAGGAUGCAAGCGUUAUCCGGAAUCAUUGGGCGUAAAGCGUCCGUAGGUGGCAUCUCAAGUCCAGUUUCAAAGACCGAAGCUCAACUUCGGAAAGGGAGUGGAAACGGGGAAGCUAGAGUAUAGUAGGGGUAGAGGGAAUUCCUAGUGUAGCGGUGAAAUGCGUAGAGAUUAGGAAGAACACCAGUGGCGAAGGCGCUCUACUGGGCAUAUACUGACACUGAGGGACGAAAGCUAGGGGAGCGA